rnacentral:rRNA from 1 species
CCGAUGGCGACCGGCGCACGGGUGAGUAACACGUAUCCAACCUGCCUCAUACUCGGGGAUAGCCUUUCGAAAGAAAGAUUAAUACCCGAUAGCAUAUAUUUCCCGCAUGGGUUUUAUAUUAAAGAAAUUCGGUAUGAGAUGGGGAUGCGUUCCAUUAGUUUGUUGGGGGGGUAACGGCCCACCAAGACUACGAUGGAUAGGGGUUCUGAGAGGAAGGUCCCCCACAUUGGAACUGAGACACGGUCCAA